rnacentral:rRNA from 1 species
UACGUAGGGCGCAAGCGUUGUCCGGAAUUAUUGGGCGUAAAGAGCUCGUAGGCGGUUUGUCGCGUCUGCUGUGAAAGCCCGGGGCUCAACCCCGGGUCUGCAGUGGGUACGGGCAGACUAGAGUGCAGUAGGGGAGACUGGAAUUCCUGGUGUAGCGGUGAAAUGCGCAGAUAUCAGGAGGAACACCGAUGGCGAAGGCGGCGUUCUGGACUGCAACUGACACUGAGAAACGAAAGCCAGGGUAGCAAACGGG